rnacentral:rRNA from 1 species
ACGCUCGACACCUACGGGAGGCAGCAGUUGGGAAUAUUGGACAAUGGAGGAAACUCUGAUCCAGUGACGCCGCGUGAAGGAAGAAGGUCUUCGGAUUGUAAAACUUAUUUUGUCAGGGAAGAAAAAUGACUGUACCUGAAGAAAAAGCACCGGCUAACUACGUGCCAGUAGCAGCGGUAAGUACUGAGCGGGCGUGGCAAGGACG